AAAUAGUUCACAACACACGCUGAACUUGAAUCAGUCUGUGUUUCUAUUGUCUGUGACUAUUAGCAGUUUAUGUCCUGAUCUGAUACAUAAUCAAACACAUCUUUCACAUAAAAGAUAAUGUUAGUUUUGAAAUCGAACGUGGUGAACGGUAGUAACAUUGCCAAUAAACAUU